AACGAACGCUGGCGGCAUGCCUAACACAUGCAAGUCGAACGAGACCUUCGGGUCUAGUGGCGCACGGGUGCGUAACGCGUGGGAACCUGCCCUUAGGUUCGGAAUAACUCCCCGAAAGGGGUGCUAAUACCGGAUAAUGUCUUCGGACCAAAGAUUUAUCGCCUUUGGAUGGUCCCGCGUUGGAUUAGCUAGUUGGUAGGGUAAAAGCCUACCAAGGCGACGAUCCAUAGCUGGUCUGAGAGGAUGAUCAGCCACACUGGGACUGAGACACGGCCCAGACUCCUACGGGAGGCAGCAGUGGGGAAUAUUGGACAAUGGGCGAAAGCCUGAUCCAGCAAUGCCGCGUGAGUGAUGAAGGCCUUAGGGUUGUAAAGCUCUUUUACCCGGGAUGAUAAUGACAGUACCGGGAGAAUAAGCUCCGGCUAACUCCGUG
rnacentral:rRNA from 1 species